UGCGUAGGCGGGUAAAUAAGUCAGAGGUGAAAGCUCACAGCUUAACUGUGGAAUUGCCUUUGAUACUGUUUAUCUUGAAUUGUGUUGAGGUUAGCGGAAUGUGACAUGUAGCGGUGAAAUGCAUAGAUAUGUCAUAGAACACCAAUUGCGAAGGCAGCUAGCUAGGCAUUGAUUGACGCUGAGGCACGAAAGCGUGGGGAGCGAACAGGAUUAGAUACCCUGGUAGUCC
rnacentral:rRNA from 1 species